rnacentral:rRNA from 1 species
GACGAACGUUGGCGGCGUGCUUAACACAUGCAAGUCGAACGGAAAGGCCCUGCUUUUGUGGGUUGCUCGUUUGGCGAACGGGUGAGUAACACGUGUGUAACCUGCCCUUUUCUUUGGUAUAACUUCAGGAAACUGGGUCUAUUACCGGAUAGGAUCUCCUGCUGCAUGGUGGGUUUUGGUAUGUUUCGGCGGUUGGGGAUGGACUCGCGGCUUAUCAGCUUGUUGGUGGGGUAGUGGCUUACCAAGGAUUUGACGGGUAGCCGGCCUGAGAGGGUGACCGGCCACAUUGGGACUGAGAUACGGCACAGACUACAACGGGAGGCAGCAGUGGGGAAUAUUGCAGAAUGGGCGGAAGCCUGAUGCAGCAACGCGGCGUGCGGGAUGACGGCCUUCGGGUUGUAAACAGAUUUAGACUGUGACGAAGAGUGAGUGACGGUAAUGGGUAAAGAAGCACCGGCUAACUACGUG